CGAGAUAAUACACCUCAGCUCCAGGAGGCUGGUAAUGGCAAGUUGUUUUCAUUGCUUUCAUCAUUAGAGAUCUAUAUAUGGGCUGGCAAUCACGUGGCUUCCUGCAGUUCAGCUUCCCUGCUUGUAAACACGUGCCACAAUUCCACUUUCUGGUUGCUGGAAACGGAAAGUCGGGGACUUCUCAGUAAAUUCUGCUCCUCCAAACAAGUUACAGUUAUGAAAUCGUUUUCCUUAACGCCUGCUAAUCUUCUACAACUGCACGCUGCGGCCGUAUCCUUCCUGUACGAAGCUUGGAUUCGCUGGCAUGAAGGGAAACACACAUAGCUUUGGAAGUCAAAACCAUCUUCCACAUGAUCGGAACAGAAACCUCAGGCUUGAUGUCUGUGCAUUUGACACGGAAUACAGAAGCCUCCGAGUUAGACUUGAGCAUGUUCCAAUGGCUUCCAAAUAGCCUGAAGGGCAGCUCCAAAACUAAAGGUAAUUAUGAAAAUAAAACCAUGAAUUUCUCAAACCAAAGCCUUGGUUUAAACCCUGAAAAGAAACUUGUGGAGACUGGUCCAUGCUGGAUCGCUAAAACUGGGUAUACGGGCUGGUUCUACAUCAAUCUGGUCAUGUCUGAAGCACGUCUGUGAACAACCUCUAUGGCUUGUACUUAAGAUACACGCUUAAAAGCUUUAACUGAGUCUUACCUACAAAUUCAGUCUAAUCCUGCAAAAUUAGGUGCCAUCAAGAGCAAAGCUCUCAGGGCCCUUGAUACAGAGGCCUGAAGGUUAGACAUCACUUUCUUGAUCAAUUAGCUGCUAUUUCAAAUAGCUGUGAAGGCUUGGCAUAGAUUCAUUUAGUCUUAAAAAGGUUCAUAAAGUCUUUGUCUUGCUAGAAACAAGCAGAAACAGAGGGUUUCCUUGCUCACAAGUCCCUAGGUCUGCCUCACCAGUGGGUUAAAGGCUCCCGAAACCCUACUUCUUGCUCUCGCUCACACCACCAUCCCCUGGCUUCCCCUCUUCUCUACCAUCUAUGGGUCAAUAUUAGAGCCCCUGUAACAGCAAUUAGGGCAAACAGACAAUUUGGUUGUGCCUUACUCUCUUGUGGCACCUUGCUCAGCACUGGAGCAGGACCUGUCCCUCCAUCCUUGAUCCUGAAAGACAGCACCUAGGAAAGCCACUGGCUGAAAAACCCUCCCUGCCUGUGAAUACCUCUCGACAUAACACUAUUAAAUAAAUAUCACACAA